ACAAACCGGAGGAAGGUGGGGAUGACGUCAAGUCAUCAUGGCCCUUACGGCCUGGGCCACACACGUGCUACAAUGGUCGGUACAGAGGGUUGCCAAGCCGCGAGGUGGAGCUAAUCCCAGAAAACCGAUCGUAGUCCGGAUCGCAGUCUGCAACUCGACUGCGUGAAGUCGGAAUCGCUAGUAAUCGCGAAUCAGAAUGUCGCGGUGAAUACGUUCCCGGGCCUUGUACACACCGCCCGUCACACCACGAGAGU
rnacentral:rRNA from 1 species